GAUGAACGCUGACAGAAUGCUUAACACAUGCAAGUCAACUUGAACUUCGGUUUGGGUGGCGGACGGGUGAGUAACGCGUAAAGAACUUGCCUCACAGAUAGGGACAACAUUUGGAAACGAAUGCUAAUACCUGAUAUUAUGAUUAUAUGUCAUCGUAUAAUUAUGAAAGCUAUAUGCGCUGUGAGAGAGCUUUGCGUCCCAUUAGCUAGUUGGAGAGGUAACGGCUCACCAAGGCGAUGAUGGGUAGCCGGCCUGAGAGGGUGAUCGGCCACAAGGGGACUGAGACACGGCCCUUACUCCUACGGGAGGCAGCAGUGGGGAAUAUUGGACAAUGGACCAAGAGUCUGAUCCAGCAAUUCUGUGUGCAAGAUGAAGUUUUUCGGAAUGUAAAGUGCUUUCAGUUGGGAAGAAAAAAAUGACGGUACCAACAGAAGAAGUGACGGCUAAAUACGUG
rnacentral:rRNA from 1 species